rnacentral:rRNA from 1 species
GGGUGAGUAAUGCAUAGGAAUCUGCCCGGUAGUGGGGGAUAACGUGGGGAAACCCACGCUAAUACCGCAUACGUCCUACGGGAGAAAGCGGAGGAUCUUCGGACUUCGCGCUAUCGGAUGAGCCUAUGUCGGAUUAGCUAGUUGGUAAGGUAACGGCUUACCAAGGCGACGAUCCGUAGCUGGUCUGAGAGGAUGAUCAGCCACACUGGGACUGAGACACGGCCCAGACUCCUACGGGAGGCAGCAGUGGGGAAUAUUGGACAAUGGGCGAAAGCCUGAUCCAGCCAUGCCGCGUGUGUGAAGAAGGCUUUCGGGUUGUAAAGCACUUUCAGCGAGGAAGAAAGCCUGGUGGUUAAUACCCAUCAGGAAGGACAUCACUCGCAGAAGAAGCACCGGCUAACUCCGUGCCAGCAGCCGCGGUAAUACGGAGGGUGCGAGCGUUAAUCGGAAUUACUGGGCGUAAAGCGCGCGUAGGUGGCUUGGCACGCCGGUUGUGAAAGCCCCGGGCUCAACCUGGGAACGGCAUCCGGAACGGCCAGGCUAGAGUGCAGGAGAGGAAGGUAGAAUUCCCGGUGUAGCGGUGAAAUGCGUAGAGAUCGGGAGGAAUACCAGUGGCGAAGGCGGCCUUCUGGCCUGACACUGACACUGAGGUGCGAAAGCGUGGGUAGCAAACAGGAUUAGAUACCCUGGUAGUCCACGCCGUAAACGAUGUCGACUAGCCGUUGGGACCUUUAAGGACUUAGUGGCGCAGUUAACGCGAUAAGUCGACCGCCUGGGGAGUACGGCCGCAAGGUUAAAACUCAAAUGAAUUGACGGGGGCCCGCACAAGCGGUGGAGCAUGUGGUUUAAUUCGAUGCAACGCGAAGAACCUUACCUACCCUUGACAUCCUGCGAAUUUGGUAGAGAUACCUUAGUGCCUUCGGGAGCGCAGUGACAGGUGCUGCAUGGCUGUCGUCAGCUCGUGUUGUGAAAUGUUGGGUUAAGUCCCGUAACGAGCGCAACCCUUGUCCUUAUUUGCCAGCGAGUAAUGUCGGGAACUCUAAGGAGACUGCCGGUGACAAACCGGAGGAAGG